rnacentral:lncRNA from 1 species
UCCAGGCAGAAGUGCGGUGAUGUGGUCAUAAUUCACUGCAGCCCUGAACUCUGGGUACAAGCCAUCCUUUUGCCUCAGUCUCCCAACUAGCUGGGUCUAGAGGCAUGAGCCACCAUGCCCAGCUAAUUUUAAAAAAAAAGUUUGUAGACAUGGGGGUCUCACUAUGUUGCUCUGGCUGAUCUCAAAUUCUGGCCUCAAGUGAUCAUUCUGGCACAGGCUUUUAAAUUGCUACAAUUACAGGAAUGAGCCACCAUGCCUAGUAUAGAGUGUUAUAUUAUUUUCAAAGUCUUAUUCUGAGAGCCAUUUAUUGACUUU